GAACUGAAAAUCAUUUGAAAAUUAUUUUUACAUACGAAAAGGAAAAAAAAGAAACAAAUCGGAUGAAAAAAAUACGAGACAUUUGAUCGUGACAUUGGAGAGAUACCAAGCCCAGCUUAUCAUCGUUCGACCGAAAAUAAUUGGAUAAAGAGGUGGUGUCCACAUAGUAGGUGGCCUGUCAACAAGUUACUUUGCAACCAGUCACUUUACUCGAUAAUGCGAAGCGCCAAUCUCGAUAAUGUCUCGAAUACAAGUUGAAGAGCUUCAAUAAUAACCAUUUUACCAUUUUUUUUUUUUUUCUUCUUCUUCUUCUGUUCGAAACCAAGGGAAUUUAUAUUCAUGAAAAACGUUAUUCCAUCUGCUCGUUUCACGUAAAUAGCCUAUUACGUGUAUGCAGUACGGAGAAUUAUUAUCCUUUCCCCUUUUUUUCUUUUCGCGUAAAGUCUUGUCUAGAUUGUCCAGAAUCGUUUCACCACGAGGAUCACGGUCCAUUGUGGAAUUCUGGUUACAUCAUUUUCCGGCUUCCGUGCGAUUCACACCGAGGGAGAGUAAAUUGCCGAUUUAAUCGUUGCGUUUCCUUUCGAAAUCGCUUGGCACGUUCAACGAUACGGAAUAACUACAGCUUCGAGGGUAUACAUAUACAUAAACGAGUUGGAUGAAAUUGCUUUUUACGUUAGCUGGAAACGAGUAUUUUUUAUUCAUAAGGGAGAAAAUUUACCGUGUAUUUGAUAAAUGGAUUAUUAGAUCGUUAAAAUCGAAAUAUUAUUAAUUCACUUUGGAAUUUCGAUGAUAAGAUUAAUUAUCAAGAGAACGCUGUAAAUUCCAUUUACAGAGAAAAUUAUUUAAUCUACCAAAACUUGACCUGAUUCUAUUUAAAAAUUAAAAAAAAAAAACGCUUCAAUCAUUAUUCUUUUGAUCGCGAAAACAUCGAGCAUCCUCUCUUCAACCCCUGCAAAAUUCAAUUUUCCCCAAAGUGACCAUGAAAAACGGGCAUCGAUUGCCAUCGAAAGCGGAGAGACAGAGAGAGAGAGAGAGAGCAGGUUUCUCUCGUUGCGGCUUUCAUCAAGAUAGAUUGGUUGCGACCACGCGAUUCGAUAUCAAAUACACGAUACAUCAAAGGGAUCGAGAGCCGCGAGUCGAGAGCAAACAUAAUGAAACGGAAAGAGAAAGGUGGGAGGGGGAAAGAGAGGAGGAAAGAGAAGGAAAAAAAGAACUGCGUGCCACCCUAGUCACGGAUGAUGCCUUGAAGGCGCGCACGAUUGACAAGAUUUACAGACAGAAGAAAGAGGGAAAGAGGUAGAAGAAGAGGCUAUAUGUUGUGCGCUAUGUGUGCCGCAUGCAUUAUUAACACGCCGACAUCGUCCUUCGUGCAAUUCGGUCGGGUUGGAUUCAGUAUAUUUCAUUUGAUACGACGCCGACCUACUGACCUUAACUGGUACGGAACUUUUAUAUACGAGUCGAGCGCAUACCGGCACAUAAAGUUUAUUUAAUUAAGAUCAUCGCGUACCAGAAGGUACAUAAACGUCUGAGACGACGAAGAGGAGACACCACAGUGGUGAGGAUUGUGAUUAUUCCUGCAUAACAAUUUGAGGCAUCCUUCCAAGUGAUGAUAUGAUACGACGGUGCGUACGUGUCGUUACGUUUACUGCUCCAACUAUGCGAAGAGAAGAUGAUCGACGGAGGAAUGAUAAUCGCACUACACAAUCAAUAAUGACUGUUCAGAAAAAACUGCAUCGUAAACUGGAAUGAUAAUUCAAUACGUUUAUAUAAUGUUAAUAAGAGUAUAUAUCUCUUAUUCGAGAUGAUUCUAUUUUUAAAGAAUUAAUACUCGUUUGUUCAAGAUCAAUCGAUACAAUAUUAUGACAACUAUACUAUAUCUUUUAUAUAACGUUAGAACGUAAUUCGAGAAUACAUAUCAAACUCUUUCUUUGGUUUAAUAAUGAAACAAAUUCGAGAGAUAUGGAUUAUAUUUUUAAAGUUAUCAUAUACUGAAAAUGUUUUUAAUAUAUGAGUAAAAUUUGAUUGAAUUCUCAACAAAUUGGAAUUGAUUUGUACAAUUGUUUUGUAAAAAAAUCUCAAUAAGAAGUUUUUAUUCCCAACUAAAAUGCUCGAUUACGUGAUUGCACACAUCAGUAAGAUUUGUAAAUGUCUUUUUCGUAAUCUAAUACAAAAUCUAAUUUGAUUCAGCAUUAAACAUACUACGCCACAAUAAAUACGAAUAAAACGCUAAUAAAACGCUUUUUCUCUGCAUCCUUCAUCAUCGUGCUUCAUCAUCAAGUGAAAACAAAUAUACCAUUUGAACGACUAUUCAAGAGAAGCACAACCUACUACAAAGUUUUUCGUCCAAUAGAUGCCACUUUCUAAAGUAGUAACGAGAAGAGAUACGAUCUCGUGUUGGAACUAUAAAAGGUCUUUGACCUUUCUUGGCACUAAACUCCAAUGAAUUUCGAGGAUUUCGACCAAGGCAAUUCAAAACUAUUCCACGGUAAUUCCUUAACAUUUCAAAUUGUAUCUUAUAAAAUCGUACCCCUAUAAAGAUCGCUCUAAUUAAAGAAACCUUUCUCCCGAUGAUACGGAUUAAAGUUAAAAAGAAAAAAAAAGAAAAAAAAAACGAAAAUCACGCGAUAUACCGGUGUGCAUUUACGGUGAAACGUUACCGAUGAAAUUAGAUAAUUGACUUUCACGCUAAAUUAGCUUUGAAAUGUCUUCGAUCUCCUAGAGCUAGUAAUUUUAGAGAAAGUCUGGCCAUUCUCUGACCGUAGAUUGCUCUUUCGUUCCUCGUCGAAUACGGUUUCCGAUGCUCGUGGGAAUACUACACCUCGUCAGAAUUUAUUUCAAAUCUUUUACUUUGUCAUGGAAUCACCGUGCAAUAUAAAUCGUGAUGGAAGCGCGAUAAAGACACGUUGUAUUUGUCCAUUGGAGAUACGUUGCUUAUCAUUGGAUGAUCGAUAAUGGGUGAGCGAGGAUCGAGAGAAAAUGUUACUUUGAAAAAGAUGAUGAGAAAAAUUUUUAAAAAUUUAUUUCUCUUCUUUUUACAUAACAUUCUAUUCGAUCGUUCAACAAUUUGCGAUAUUUUAAAAUUAAUUUUUAAUGGAAAAAUUGUACGCAAGAAACAAAGUUACAGAAAGUGAAGGGCGAAUGUUAUUCGCGCCUGUCUUUACAACCGUCCAUUACCUACGUUAACUUGUAUUCCAAUUACCAUUUAGUACCACGUGCCUACUUAUGCCAUCAUUAAAUUAUGACACAAUUUUUCGUCAUUAUCCCGACAGCACUCUUUUCUCUUCCUCCUACAGAAUCAACCUAUUUUAACAUUGUUCGUAUUCAUCACUUAUCCACGAAUUUUUUUUUUUUUUAAAUUUUCAAAGAGAAUUUUAAAAAUGAUCCGUCGCAUUUUAAAGAGAUGAUAAAGUGUAGAUGUUUUAAAGUGAAAUCAGCUAGAUGCUUUAGGACGAGGUAAAUUGGCAUAUACCGUGAACGAACACGAUUCGAACAUCGAAGGUCGAGUUUUAGAGGCCGGUAAAGGUGGACACUUGAAACCUUUGGUAUAUAUCGUAAAAGGAGCGAGCAUUGGUCGAUUGCGCAUGAAAGGGACCAGUCUCGAGGGUACACAUAUGCACUGAUAAAUAGAUUAUCGUCCCCUGCACCGUCGCGAAAACCGAUACGAUCGACGAAAGAUAUUCCCAGUAUUAUUCGGAAUGCGGGAAUAUACUCUGAUAUUUGUACAAUUUGAUAACAAUAUAGGUAAAUAGUUUAGUCUGAGGAACAUUGUCCAGAUACGGAGGAUUUAUCUAGAAAUCGUACGAAUAUUCCUCUAAAUAUUUAUUUCGAAAGAAAUUUUUUCGAUGAAAUUUAAAAAAAAAAAAAAAAAUGCAAUUAAUUUCGUUACGUCGAAGGAAUAUUCGCUUUGUCGAUAAAAUUGUAACAUCUGCCUUCCAAACCUGAAGUCUGAACUCACAACUCAUAUAUCUUCAUCUCGACCAAGUGUUGGAUUACUCCAAUUUCCCGGUUCCAAGUUCAAAGUAAAAUAAUAAUCAGAUUGAUCUCCGUCAUAUUUAAUUCGAUUCCACGGUUGAAAUGAAGUUAGCCUCGUUUCACUCACGGUGUGUACAGUACAACACAAAACUGGCCCGAUUCGUGAAACGCAUGACCGCCCCUCGAAUUUAUAUAAUCCAUGCGUAGAUUAAAUAAUUCGUUUGCGUGAGAAAAUCGUUCUAUCGUGUCUGAUAGAAAAAUUGCUGAAAAUUUUCCAAUGUCGACCGCAUUUAAUGGGCUACUUAUUGCAAUUGCACUACUGUUGCGUUGUUUGAUAACGCACUUCCUGCAUACCCAACAUGUAUGUAUAUACAUGUUAAAGUAAAUGUUAUUAAAUACUAGCCACGUAUUAAUUUGACAAAUAUAAUGAUAUGUAUUCGCAAACGAUAUAACGGUAUUGCGAUACUAUUUCAUUUUUCCUUUUACAUAUAUAUAUGUAAAUGUUUUAUAUUAAAUUAGUUUUGUAAAAAGAUCGGUGCGGAUUAUUGAAGAAUAUAAUAAACCAUAUUGAUAAAUAUGAACAAUUAAUUUGAGUGAGAAAAAUUAUUUUAAAAUAAAUUUCUUCGUAACUGGCCUGGACCCUUGUGAACGAAGGAGUGUGCUAUGCACAGUUUUACUAUGCAUUCAAAAAUGGAAAAGGUAAACAAGGGUCACAGUUGGUAUGUCAGGAUGGUAGAUAGGGCCCUUGCCUUGGAAUACGAAAUGAGAAAGGUAUCGACUUUCCACAGUCGUGGUAUCAGCGUUACCAUGAUAACACCCCCGCAUGGCAAUCCACGCCACGAGUGAAGAACACUUUACGGUUUUGCUUCUUAGCCACGUGCACACACGCAGUGUUACUAGUUGUAGUUAUUCCACUUCUUUCGUUCUCUGUUGGCCUGGCAUUGGUGUGAAGUAAAGAAGGAUAGGGAAUGAAAGAAGGAGAAGAGAGAGAGAGAGAAAAGAAAGAAAAAGCCGCGACAAACACUUCAGACUGUGGUAAUGACGAGGAGGAAGUAAAUUUUACCGGGUACAAAGCAAACAUCACGAGGAGACACCUCAGGUACACCCUACCGCGUCGUCACAAGUCGCGCACAAUGGGACAAAGAACUUCUGCUUGCUGAUUCGUCACUGUUGUUUCCCUCAACUGGGAUAUAUUGUGUACAGAAUCCUGUUGAAGCGAGGAUAAUGACGAUUUAAUGGAAUUGUUGACCGACUAUUGAACUUUAAUUAAAUUUAAUUUAGUUUUUCUUUUUUUUUUUUUCUGAGUGAAAGGAUUUAAAAUUUUUUGAUUGAAUUUAAAGAGAAAAAUUUAAAAUCUCUUAUUUGUAAGUAUUUCGUGUAUGCUCGACUAAAAAAUAAUUCAUCGUGGUUAAUUGUGAAUUUCAAAGAAACUAGAUUAAAGUUGAUGGUAGGAAACCAGUGAUAUUUUUAGCACAACUCCGUUUAUCUGAAUCAUUAGAAUAAAAAACAAUUUCAUAGAGCCAGCUAUGAUUUUUCAUUCGAAUAAGAGUUUACCUUUGGAUUAAAUUAAAUUCAGAAGUUAAUUCAUAUUGAAUUAAUAAAUCCAUAUUAAUUAAUUAAUUAAUUAAUUAAUUGUUUCGAGGUUUUUUAUUAUCUUUGUCUUCAAUUAUCUGUACUCUUCCCAUUUGAAAUCAAGCUUUCUUUGAUGAUCACCAUGAAUCAUCAUGAAUGACCUACGUGACACAGGAAUUACAUAGGAUAGAAUUAAAUCCAAUUACAUGAGAACUCAUAAAAAUCGAGGAAAAUUUUUACAACAGAGAUGUAAAAACUCGCAAGAAUUAUAUUAUCUCGUUUAAUCAAUUACUAUCGUCCAUUAUUAUCGACAUCAUAAUCAAAACAUCAGAAAUGAAUUUCAGAAAAUUGACCCUGAUGAGAACUUCCUGCUACUGGCCAAUCGAUAAUACGCUCAGGAGAAACGUGAUUCAUUGCGUGCCACGAAUGCGUCAGCUUCCCCGUUUCAAAUUCACGAGAGUUUGAACAUUAUUCGAUCAUUUAUUAAAUUACGAUUAUUUCUAUUAUGAAAUAUAUUACGAAAAAACAAAGUUUGUUUCGAAGAAUUAUUAAUCGAUGAUACAUGCAAAUCAGUUAAACGAUAUAUAAACGAGCAUUACAACUUGUAAUACCGGUUUUUUUCUGAACCUUAGGUAGUCAACGUGAUCAUUCUGAAUUUUUCCCCCAUUUCUUUCUUUUACCGUGGAAUUGCGUCACAGUACAAGAAUAUUUUAUCAUCGUUAACAAUUGGGUUCUCGACUUGUGGAACAAGUAGUGGUAAAACGCUAACAACUUAAAGGUCAUCUUGCUAUAGUUAUUUGCUAUACUGAUUCCAUGAAUCGUAAGCUUCCUUGACCCGAAAAUUCUCUUUAAACGAACCUCAAUAUAUCCCCAUUUUUAUUUGUGGAAUUUCUUUUAUAUUUCAAUUCUGAGGAUGCAAAAAUUUUAAAUCAAUAUUAUUCAUGAAAAAUAAAUAUUUUUCAAUAGAAAACUGUUGAGAGACCUAAGAGUCGGAUAUUAAUUAUUUUAAAUUGAAUACUUCCACACGUUUGAAACUAAUAAUAACACUUGUUAAUAUGAUAAUUUGUACAUGCUAUAUAUAUAUAUCCAUCUAUAUCCUCCAAAUACAAUUACCAAAUCGAUGGAACAUAUUAUCGUCUGCAAUAAUCAUUCAAACUAUAAAAAGAAAAAUAUUCGAAAUUAUCCAAUCGUUAUUGGGUAUGAUUUUAUAGUUAUUGCCGUGUUAAUAUA